GGACUACCGGGGUAUCUAAUCCUGUUUGCUCCCCCAGCUUUCGUGCCUGAGCGUCAGGUGUCGGCCAGGGCGCUGCCUUCGCCGUCGGUGUUCCUCCGGAUCUCUACGCAUUUCACCGCUCCACCCGGAAUUCCACGCCCCUCUCCGACCCUCAAGCUCCGCCGUCUGCACGGCACCCUCCCAGUUGAGCCAGGAGAUUUCACCGCACACGCGCGAAGCCGCCUGCGCACCCUUUACGCCCAGUAACUCCGGACAACGCUCGUCUCCUACGUAUUACCGCGGCUGCUGGCAC
rnacentral:rRNA from 1 species